rnacentral:piRNA from 1 species
ACCCUGCAUACUUGCUCUUAGGG